rnacentral:rRNA from 1 species
CCUACGGGAGGCAGCAGUGGGGAAUCUUGCACAAUGGAGGAAACUCUGAUGCAGCGAUGCCGCGUGAGUGAAGAAGGCCUUUGGGUUGUAAAGCUCUUUCGUCGGGGAAGAAAAUGACUGUACCCGAAUAAGAAGGUCCGGCUAACUUCGUGCCAGCAGCCGCGGUAAUACGAAGGGACCUAGCGUAGUUCGGAAUUACUGGGCUUAAAGAGUUCGUAGGUGGUUGAAAAAGUUGGUGGUGAAAUCCCAGAGCUUAACUCUGGAACUGCCAUCAAAACUUUUCAGCUAGAGUAUGAUAGAGGAAAGCAGAAUUUCUAGUGUAGAGGUGAAAUUCGUAGAUAUUAGAAAGAAUACCAAUUGCGAAGGCAGCUUUCUGGAUCAUUACUGACGCUGAGGAACGAAAGCAUGGGUAGCGAAGAGGAUUAGAUACCCUCGUAGUCCAUGCCGUAAACGAUGUGUGUUAGACGUUGGAAAUUUAUUUUCAGUGUCGCAGCGAAAGCGAUAAACACACCGCCUGGGGAGUACGACCGCAAGGUUAAAACUCAAAUGAAUUGACGGGGACCCGCACAAGUAGUGGAGCAUGUGGUUUAAUUCGAAGAUACGCGCAGAACCUUACCAACACUUGACAUGUUCGUCGCGACUUUAAGAGAUUAAAGUUUUCGGUUCGGCCGGACGAAACACAGGUGCUGCAUGGCUGUCGUCAGCUCGUGUCGUGAGAUGUUGGGUUAAGUCCCGCAACGAGCGCAACCCUCACUUUUAGUUGCCAUCAUUUAGUUGGGCACUCUGAAAGAACUGCCAGUGAUAAGCUGGAGGAAGGUGGGGAUGACGUCAAGUCCUCAUGGCCCUUACGUGUUGGGCUACACACGUGCUACAAUGGUAUCUACAACAGGAAGCAAAACUGCGAGGUUAAGCAAAUCCUCAAAAGAUACCUCAGUUCGGAUUGCACUCUGCAACUCGAGUGCAUGAAGCUGGAAUUACUAGUAAUCGUGGAUCAGCGUGCCACGGUGAAUGCGUUCCCGGGUCUUGUACACACCGCCCGUCACACCAUGGGAGUUGGUUCUACCUUAAGGCAAGGUUUUAUACCCUUGACCACGGUAUAGUCAGCGACUGGGGUGAAGUCGUAACAAGGUAGCCGUAGGGGAACCUGCGGCUG